rnacentral:rRNA from 1 species
UGGGGAAUCUUAGACAAUGGGCGCAAGCCUGAUCUAGCCAUGCCGCGUGAGUGAAGAAGGCCUUAGGGUCGUAAAGCUCUUUCGCCUGUGAUGAUAAUGACAGUAGCAGGUAAAGAAACCCCGGCUAACUCCGUG